rnacentral:lncRNA from 1 species
UUUUAUCAUUAUUUUCAUGUUCCUUAGGAACGAAUAAAGGACGAUGGCGACUCUGUAAUUUUCCAGCCACGGCAACUGGCGAUUCUACUAGGUAAAUCCUUAAAGAGAGUCCAUUCUAUCAUUUAGCUCUAGGGGUUGUGUGUUUGUCUGCUUUUAUCUAUUUUUUCUUUUUAUUUAUUUGCGUUUCCUUUUUAUUUUAUGCUUUCUUCUUUAUUUUAUAU